rnacentral:rRNA from 1 species
AUGAUCACAAGAUGUGACAAGCUCAGAUUCGGCGCGACAAAAUGUGUCACAAUGAUCACAAGGUUUUGCCACCCUCAUCUGGACGCAAUCAAGGAGUUAUGCUGUCAGUCUGUCACAGCCACAGGAGUCCUAUCACAAGUUUGCAAUUCAGAGACUGGUUCAAAGUUAACCGGUGCAAUCAGAAAUCGUAACACAAAUGGGAGUGGUGAGUACCUCUUCGGCUCCCUCCUGCCUCUCCUCCUCCUCACCGUUGCCACCGUGUGGCCAGAAGCUAUUCCGGUUGGAGUUGGCGUGAAGGUUGAUCAGGGCGAGAAAGUGCCCGCUGCCUGUGUGAACCUCAGUCAGGGCGAGAAGGUGCCCGUCUGUGCCACGGUCAAUCAAACAAUAUCGCCUACAGCCGAAAGUCCCCUGCCUGCACCCCCGGCCAAGGUAACACCUAUGACCCCAAGUGCUCUGCCUAGUUACACCCCUGGCCAUCCGUUGACCUUGAAAUUUUCUCUAUAA